rnacentral:sRNA from 1 species
GCCGGGCAUGGUGGUGCAUGCCUGUAAUCCCGGCUACUCGGGAGGCUGAGGCAGGAGAAUCGCUUGGACCCGGGAGGCGGAGGUUGCAGUGAGCCGAGAUCGGGCCACUGCACUCCAGCCUGGGCAACAGAGUGAGACUCAGUCUCAA